UACGUAGGGUGCAAGCGUUAAUCGGAAUUACUGGGCGUAAAGCGUGCGCAGGCGGUUUUGUAAGUCUGUCGUGAAAGCCCCGGGCUCAACCUGGGAAUUGCGAUGGAGACUGCAAGGCUUGAAUCUGGCAGAGGGGGUAGAAUUCCACGUGUAGCAGUGAAAUGCGUAGAGAUGUGGAGGAACACCGAUGGCGAACGGCAGCCCCCUGGGUCAAGAUUGACGCUCAUGCACGAAAGCGUGGGGAGCAAACAGG
rnacentral:rRNA from 1 species